rnacentral:rRNA from 1 species
UACGUAGGGUGCAAGCGUUGUCCGGAAUUAUUGGGCGUAAAGAGCUCGUAGGCGGUCUGUCACGUCUGCUGUGAAAACUCGGGGCUUAACCCCGGGCCUGCAGUGGGUACGGGCAGACUAGAGUGCGGUAGGGGAGACUGGAAUUCCUGGUGUAGCGGUGAAAUGCGUUGAUAUCGGAAGGAACGCCGGUGGCGAAAGCGACCUGCUGGAUCUCUACUGACGCUGAGGCGCGAAAGCCAGGGGAGCGAACGGG